UCUCUCUUUGUCUCUCCCUCUCUCCCCCUCUCCCUCUUGUUCCCAUCCAUGCUUGACUGUAUCCCAAACAUCUAAGAGAGGCCUGAAAUGACGUCACCUCUCCCUCAGACAAGUUUCAUUUGCCUGUCCAUCAUCACAUCAGUAUCUUCGGCAACGUGGGAACACUGAAUGAGAGAGUGGGAUCGGCUCCUGUUAUUUAUGCCUCUCUGGAGUCCUGAUGACCAGCUCGAUGAGGGAGAUUGUCACUGAUGGCGUCUGACUCCUAGAAACUGCUCAGCUGGUCUUUGAAGGAUAGUCUCCAAAGGGCAAUAUCAAGGAAGGGUUUUAGACAAACUUCUCCACAUUCCAAGAAGGAAAUCCGUGCACAGAGCCCCUUCCUUGGGCGCCCUCUUCGGGGUCUCGGUACCUUCCCUUCUAAUUGGCUCUGACUGUAAAUGCUUGUUUACUGCACUGUGAUGUAAGAAGGCCCAGUGCAAUGUUUGAAUGUACCUCCUCGAUCCUAACCAGGUUCACGGGUCAGCAACAAAUGUUGAGAGUCACUGUGGUGGUUUGACUAAGGUUUGGCCCUUAUAGAUUCAUGUGUUUGAAUGCUUGGCCAUAGGGAGUGGCACUAUUAAGAGGUGUGGCUUUAUUGGAGG
rnacentral:lncRNA from 1 species